rnacentral:lncRNA from 1 species
GCAGAACAGUCCUCCCUUAUAUGUGUGUGUGUGUGGAGCUGAGACAGGCUCGGCAGCGGCACAGAAUGAGGGAAGACGAGAAAGAGAGUGGGAGAGAGAGAGGCAGAGAGGGAGAGAGGGAGAGUGACAGCAGCGCUCGAGACGGACGGCAAGCGGUCCCGAACCAGUUACACGCGCUACCAGACUCUGGAACUCGAGAAAGAAUUCCACUUUAACCGCUACCUCACUCGCCGCAGGCGCAUAGAGAUCGCCAACAACUUGUGUCUCAAUGAGAGACAGAUCAAGAUCUGGUUCCAGAACCGCAGGAUGAAGUGGAAGAAAGAUUCCAAAAUGAAAAGCAAAGAGGCUCUUUAGAGGCAGCGGGGGAGGCCCGCAGAGCGCGCCCCUAGCCGGUUCCUGUCCCUGCGCCUUUCCUUUUCGCCUUUCCUCUCUAUAUUUCGGGUCGGGGGCAGGUGCUGGAGCACUGGGCUCCCGGGCCCCACAGACAAAAGCGCUUUUCCUUGGCAUUCCGCAUCCCUACCGACCCAGGGUUCCCGCGGGGCUGUCGGCGCUGCCCCAUCUCCCCUCAGCUCGGCUCAGCUCGGUACCCGGGGCCCAGGGCAAGCUCCGCAGGACUUCCCCGGAGGGCUGCGGCGUACAGGCUGGCGCAGAACGAACCUUGGCCUGGGCCGUAUCUCCGGCUCCCAGCCUCAGCGCGGCCCUCCCGAGUUAAGGUGGGCCCGGCCCGCGCCACAGGACCCUCGCCGGACCCUCUAACCUCGCCCUCUCCUUUGUUCCCGGCUGGACGGGUUAGACAGCCAAAGGCUGGCGAGAGUCUGGCCCUAGACUCGGGGUGCUUCCUUGUAGCGACUAAACUAGAUUUUCACUUAUGAAUGAUUUGCAUAUGAAAGGAGAGCAUCGGCCUAGGGCCCCCACAGUUGCUCUAUGCUUUCCAAACCUUAUCUCCACAACCUCUUCCCCCCAAAACCCGGGAACCUCCCCAGCCUGCGCCUGCUGCAUGCCCUCUCAGGCCGGCAGCCCCAGCCUGCUAGCUAGCUCAACUAGUGGGGUUUCCUGGCACUGGACCCCAGCAAGUGGUCCUAGAGGCCCUUUGCUGUCCCAUAGUCCCUGCCACGAAUUUCUGUGCCCUCCUGACCCAUUGCUGUUGUCCAACUAUUUAUUGACUCUGGGUCCUUCCUGAAACUAUAUUUUGUCAUAUCAAAUAAAGAGAGAACAGGACUAAAGA